UGGGGAAUUUUGGACAAUGGGGGAAACCCUGAUCCAGCCAUCCCGCGUGUGCGAUGAAGGCCUUCGGGUUGUAAAGCACUUUUGGCAGGAAAGAAACGUCAUGGGUUAAUACCCCGUGAAACUGACGGUACCUGCAGAAUAAGCACCGGCUAACUACGUGCCAGCAGCCGCGGUAAUACGUAGGGUGCAAGCGUUAAUCGGAAUUACUGGGCGUAAAGCGUGCGCAGGCGGUUCGGAAAGAAAGAUGUGAAAUCCCAGAGCUCAACUUUGGAACUGCAUUUUUAACUACCGGGAUAGAGUGUGGCAGAGGGAGGUGGAAUUCCGCGUGUAGGAGUGAAAUGCGUAGAUAUGCGGAGGAACACCGAUGGCGAAGGCAGCCUCCUGGGAUAACACUGACGCUCAUGCACGAAAGCGUGGGGAGCAAACAGG
rnacentral:rRNA from 1 species